AUGAGUAACGAAAAGAAUAGUAGAUUUUGGUAAUAAGCGCUUAUUGCGAACAAUACAUUAAAUAAUAGAUCUUAUUUAAUGCUUACAAGAUCUGCUAUCCGCCUAAAGCUUAUGGUUAGAAUUAAGUAACGGCCUCUAAGCUUUUUAUCUAAAGAUUGAAGCGAUGAGAAAAUCUUUUAUUAUAAGACGACAUUUAUCUAGUGAAAAAUGUACAGGAAAUAUUAUAAUAUUGUAACCGUACCUAGAAACCGACUAUGGUAAGCUAGUAGAGUAUACGAAGGCGUAAUUGAGAUAACAAUCAUAAAGGAACUCGGCAAAUUGACUAUCGUAACUUCGGGAUAAGUAGGGCUCAUUAUUCUUGAUUAAUAUCAGGUAAAGAGGAAGAAACAUAAAAUAAUGUUGUACGACUGUUUAAUUAAAACACAGCACUUUGCUUAAAGAUUAAAAAUCUAUGUAUAAAGUGUGAUAUCUGCCCGGUGCCGGCUGGCUAACAGAGAUAAUUGAAUAUAUUACUAUUUGAUGUCGACGGAAGCCCCGGUUAAAGGCGGCCUUAACGUGAGGGUCCUAAGGUAGCGAAAUGCCUUGGCCGUUAAAUGCGGUCUUGCAUGAAUGGUGUAACGAUACAACAGCUGUCUCUAUGAUUGACUCAGUGAAAUU
rnacentral:ncRNA from 1 species